rnacentral:rRNA from 1 species
GAUACUCAAUUUAAAGUGAGUAAACAGAAUUCCAUACUCGAUCUCAUAGAUCCCUAUAGAAUUCUGUGGAAAGCCGUAUUCGAUGAAAGUCGUAUGUACGGCUUGGAGGGAGAUCUUUCCUCUCUUUCGAGAUCCACCCUACAAUAUGGGGUCAAAAAGCAAAAAAAAUAA